rnacentral:rRNA from 1 species
AGUGAACGCUGGCGGUAGGCCUAACACAUGCAAGUCGAACGGCAGCACAGUAAGAGCUUGCUCUUACGGGUGGCGAGUGGCGGACGGGUGAGGAAUACAUCGGAAUCUACUUUUUCGUGGGGAUAACGUAGGGAAACUUACGCUAAUACCGCAUACGACCUACGGGUGAAAGCAGUGGAUCUUCGGACCUUGCGCGAUUGAAUGAGCCGAUGUCGGAUUAGCUAGUUGGCGGGGUAAAGGCCCACCAAGGCGACGAUCCGUAGCUGGUGUGAGAGGAUGAUCAGCCACCCUGGAACUGAGACACGCUCCAGACUCCUGCGGGAGGCAGCAGUGGGGAAUAGUGGACAAUGGGCGCAAGCCUGAUACAAUCAUACCGAGUGGGUGAAGAAGGCCUUCGGGUUGUAAAGCCCUUUUGUUGGGAAAGAAAAGCAGCAGGUUAAUACCCCGCUGUUCUGACGGUACCCAAAGAAUAAGCACCGGCUAACUUCGUG